AUUGAACGCUGGCGGCAUGCCUUACACAUGCAAGUCGAACGGCAGCGGGGGAGAAGCUUGCUUUUCCUGCCGGCGAGUGGCGAACGGGUGAGUAAUACAUCGGAACGUGCCCUGUAGUGGGGGAUAACUAGUCGAAAGAUAGCUAAUACCGCAUACGACCUGAGGGUGAAAGUGGGGGACCGCAAGGCCUCAUGCUAUAGGAGCGGCCGAUGUCUGAUUAGCUAGUUGGUGGGGUAAAGGCCUACCAAGGCGACGAUCAGUAGCUGGUCUGAGAGGACGAUCAGCCACACUGGGACUGAGACACGGCCCAGACUCCUGCGGGAGGCAGCAGUGGGGAAUUUUGGACAAUGGGCGAAAGCCUGAUCCAGCAAUGCCGCGUGUGUGAAGAAGGCCUUCGGGUUGUAAAGCACUUUUGUCCGGAAAGAAAUGGCUCUGGUUAAUACCUGGGGUCGAUGACGGUACCGGAAGAAUAAGGACCGGCUAACUACGUGCCAGCCGCCGCAGUAA
rnacentral:rRNA from 1 species